rnacentral:rRNA from 1 species
UACGUAGGGGGCAAGCGUUGUCCGGAUUUAUUGGGCGUAAAGAGCUCGUAGGCGGUUCCGUAAGUCGAGUGUGAAAAAUCUGGGCUCAACCCAGUGGAGCACUCGAUACUGCGGUGACUAGAGUACGGUAGAGGAGUGUGGAAUUCCUGGUGUAGCGGUGAAAUGCGCAGAUAUCAGGAAGAACACCGGUGGCGAAGGCGGCUCUCUGGGCCUUACCUGACGCUGAGGAGCGAAAGCGUGGGUAGCGAACAGG